rnacentral:rRNA from 1 species
UGCGCAGGCGGACUCGUAAGUCAGAGGUGAAAUCCUGCAGCUUAACUGUAGAACUGCCAUUGAUACUGUUAGUCUUGAGUACGGUCAAGGUAGGCGGAAUGUGUAAUGUAGCGGUGAAAUGCUUAGAUAUUACACAGAACACCGAUUGCGAAGGCAGCUUACUGGACCAUUACUGACGCUGAGGCACGAAAGCGUGGGGAGCGAACAGGAUUAGAUACCCUGGUAGUCC